rfam:Salmo salar isolate Sally breed double haploid chromosome ssa09, whole genome shotgun sequence.
UAGCUCAGUUGGUAGAGCAUGGUGUUUGCAACGCCAGGGUUGUGGGUUCGCUUCCCAC